GAGAGGUCCAAGGAAAGAGCAGUGACAAAACCUGAACCAACUUUGGGUUGAGAGAGACAGACAGACAGACAGAGACAGAAAAGAAGAAUUAACAGAUAGUGUGGAUGAGAACCACCGUGUUAGGGACAUGACAAGAGGAGAAAGCACAAAAAAGGCAACAGAAUCUGAGAGAAACACGCAGUGAUUGAAACCCAUCUGUAAAGGAUCUAGGAAGAGAAGUCAACAAUGGCUACUGAGCCAGUAUUAGAAGUAGAUCGUGCCAAACCAACCUGAUCUCCUUCUUUGAGAAGCACUUUGUUAACGAGAUGUUUCAGUGCAAUCAAUAGAUCGUUGCAGCGGCCUCUAGUGGGGACCGACAACACCGACAGCAUCCAGACUCGUGAGCUCUCAAAAUACAUUGUGUCUAUAGAUACUAAUAUUACUUUCGCCUUCACUGCGCUACUUUGUAAUUUUGGAAUUCGUGAUUCCACAGGGCGCAGAAAAGAACAUUACUAAAAAGGUGCAAACCUGCGACAAGUUACACCCAGAACCUAAGUGAAAAGGGAUCAAUAGUCGUCUCUCCUUGGGUGAGCUAACACCUAACAGAGAACACAAUCUGCUUCGAAAAUCCCAUACCGAUAAGACACUGAAACGGAUCAGUGACAAGGUGUGGGUUUCUCAGGUGACCUCAGCGGUUUUGGGGAAAGAGCAAGACAGAUGGUUGCUUAACACGGGAACCUUGCUGUGACACGUGAAACCCCAAUGGCACCCGACAGAAUCACCCAAGCAAACCCGCAGGCAGCAAGAACUGAUCCAACUACACAAAGGCCAGACACUGGAAUAGGCUCUGCGAAUUACUGGAUUAGUUUAGAUCUCUGCCUUCCCCCGUACUCCUACAGGCAGGUUACAGGAAAGAUAUAAAAUUAAA